CUCUGACAGCUCCUCGGACGUCCCUUGUUGUGAUGAGCUUCACAACUUUGUCAAGUGUAUCAUUGGAUGGCCUUCUGCUGGAAUUCGUCUGACAUUAUUCUCAUGAUUUUUCAAGCUCUGACCACCUUGUUCAAGCUUUGGCCACCUUUCCACACCAGCCAUCUCUGUCUAGCUCUGCUUUGUUCCUGAUCUACGGAUGAACACCUCUAUCAUGAGGUGCGGUCCUUACUGCCGGUGUGUGGCCCUUCUGGGGAUUUAGCGGAACGCCCUGCACUUGGUUGAACUCAUGCUCCGCAUUCUGUUUCCCCUGCAUUGGGCAGAUUCUGAAAUCUCUUCUCAG